AGUGAACGCUGGCGGUAGGCCUAACACAUGCAAGUCGAACGGAAGCACAGUAAGAGUUUGCUCUUACGGGUGGCGAGUGGCGGACGGGUGACGAAUACAUCGGAAUCUACUUUUUCGGGGGGGAUAACGUAGGGAAACUUACGCUAAUACCGCAUACGACCUACGGCUGAAAGCAGUGGAUCUUCGCACCUUGCGCGAUUGAAUGAGCCGAUGUCGGAUUGGCUAGUUGGCGGGGUAAAGGCCCACCAUGGCGACGCUCCGUAGCUGGUCUGAGAGGAGGGCCAGCCACACUGGACCUGAGACACGGUCCAGAUCCCGAGGGGAGGCAGAGGGGGGGAAUAUUGGACAAUGGGCGCAAGCCUGAUCCAGCCAGACCGGGUGGGUGAAGAAGGCCUUCGGGUUGUAAAGCCCUUUUGUUGGGAAAGAAAAGCAGCAGGUUAACACCCCGCUGUUCUGACGGUACCCAAAGAAUAAGCACCGGCUAACUUCGU
rnacentral:rRNA from 1 species